rnacentral:misc_RNA from 1 species
UCACAAUAUCAAGCUUGGCUUGUUGUUGGGCCCUUUUGUCACCUGGUGACAGGUCCAAAAGACAAUAACCGGUGUCAUACAGACUCUAUAUGCAACGAGCUUAUCACAGCACGCAUCUUGUGGUCGUGUGGCCUGGUUUUCACUUUGAUAAACAUAUAUUUCUCAA